AGCGAACGCUGGCGGCAGGCCUAACACAUGCAAGUCGAACGAACCUUUCGGGGUUAGUGGCGGACGGGUGCGUAACACGUGGGAACGUGCCUUUAGGUUCGGAAUAACUCAGGGAAACUUGUGCUAAUACCGAAUGUGCCCUUCGGGGGAAAGAUUUAUCGCCUUUAGAGCGGCCCGCGUCUGAUUAGCUAGUUGGUUGAGGUAAUGGCUCACCAAGGCGACGAUCAGUAGCUGGUCUGAGAGGAUGAUCAGCCACAGUGGGACUGAGACACGGCCCAAACUCCUACGGGAGGCAGCAGUGGGGAAUCUUGCGCAAUGGGCGAAAGCCUGACGCAGCCAUGCCGCGUGAAUGAUGAAGGUCUUAGGAUUGUAAAAUUCUUUCACCGGGGACGAUAAUGACGGUACCCGGAGAAGAAGCCCCGGCUAACUUCGUG
rnacentral:rRNA from 1 species